rnacentral:rRNA from 1 species
GAUGAACGCUGGCGGUAUGCCUAAUACAUGCAAGUCGUGCGGAAAGGCCUCUUCGGAGGUACUCGAGCGGCGGACGGCAGAGUAACGCGUAGGAACAUACCCCAAACUGAGGGAUAACUGCUCGAAAGAGUAGCUAAUACCGCAUGUGGUCUUCGGACUAAAGCUUCGGCGGUUUGGGAAUGGCCUGCGUUCGAUUAGCUAGUUGGUGAGGUAAUUGCUCACCAAGGCGACGAUCGAUAGCUGGUCUGAGAGGAUGAUCAGCCUGACUGGAACUGAGACACGGUCCAGACUCCUACGGGAGGCAGCAGUAGGGAAUUUUCCACAAUGGGCGAAAGCCUGAUGGAGCAAUACCGCGUGCAGGAUGAAGGCCUUCGGGUCGUAAACUAGCUUUUAUGUGAAAAGAAUUUGACGGUAACACAUG